UUAAGCGACUAAGCGUACACGGUGGAUGCCCUGGCAGUCAGAGGCGAUGAAGGACGUGCUAAUCUGCGAAAAGCGUCGGUAAGGUGAUAUGAACCGUUAUAGCCGGCGAUGUCCGAAUGGGGAAACCCAGUGCAAUUCGUUGCACUAUCGUUAACUGAAUACAUAGGUUAACGAGGCGAACCGGGGGAACUGAAACAUCUAAGUACCCCGAGGAAAAGAAAUCAACCGAGAUUCCCCCAGUAGCGGCGAGCGAACGGGGAGCAGCCCAGAGUCUGAAUCAGCUUGUGUGUUAGUGGAACGGUCUGGAAAGUCCGACGGUACAGGGUGAUAGUCCCGUACACCAAAAUGCACAGGUUGUGAACUCGAAGAGUAGGGCGGGACACGUGGUAUCCUGUCUGAAUAUGGGGGGACCAUCCUCCAAGGCUAAAUACUCCUGACUGACCGAUAGUGAACCAGUACCGUGAGGGAAAGGCGAAAAGAACCCCGGCGAGGGGAGUGAAAAAGAACCUGAAACCGUGUACGUACAAGCAGUGGGAGCACCUUCGGGUGUGACUGCGUACCUUUUGUAUAAUGGGUCAGCGACUUAUAUUCUGUAGCAAGGUUAACCGUAUAGGGGAGCCGCAGGGAAACCGAGUCUUAACUGGGCGUUAAGUUGCAGGGUAUAGACCCGAAACCCGGUGAUCUAGCCAUGGGCAGGUUGAAGGUUGGGUAACACUAACUGGAGGACCGAACCGACUAAUGUUGAAAAAUUAGCGGAUGACUUGUGGCUGGGGGUGAAAGGCCAAUCAAACCGGGAGAUAGCUGGUUCUCCCCGAAAGCUAUUUAGGUAGCGCCUCGUGAACUCAUCUUCGGGGGUAGAGCACUGUUUCGGCUAGGGGGUCAUCCCGACUUACCAACCCGAUGCAAACUACGAAUACCGAAGAAUGUUAUCACGGGAGACACACGGCGGGUGCUAACGUCCGUCGUGAAGAGGGAAACAACCCAGACCGCCAGCUAAGGUCCCAAAGUCAUGGUUAAGUGGGAAACGAUGUGGGAAGGCACAGACAGCCAGGAUGUUGGCUUAGAAGCAGCCAUCAUUUAAAGAAAGCGUAAUAGCUCACUGGUCGAGUCGGCCUGCGCGGAAGAUGUAACGGGGCUAAACCAUGCACCGAAGCUGCGGCAGCGACACUAUGUGUUGUUGGGUAGGGGAGCGUUCUGUAAGCCUGCGAAGGUGUGCUGUGAGGCAUGCUGGAGGUAUCAGAAGUGCGAAUGCUGACAUAAGUAACGAUAAAGCGGGUGAAAAGCCCGCUCGCCGGAAGACCAAGGGUUCCUGUCCAACGUUAAUCGGGGCAGGGUGAGUCGACCCCUAAGGCGAGGCCGAAAGGCGUAGUCGAUGGGAAACAGGUUAAUAUUCCUGUACUUGGUGUUACUGCGAAGGGGGGACGGAGAAGGCUAUGUUAGCCGGGCGACGGUUGUCCCGGUUUAAGCAUGUAGGCUGGUUGUCCAGGCAAAUCCGGAUAAUCAAGGCUGAGGUGUGAUGACGAGGCACUACGGUGCUGAAGUAACAAAUGCCCUGCUUCCAGGAAAAGCCUCUAAGCAUCAGGUAACAUUAAAUCGUACCCCAAACCGACACAGGUGGUCAGGUAGAGAAUACCAAGGCGCUUGAGAGAACUCGGGUGAAGGAACUAGGCAAAAUGGUGCCGUAACUUCGGGAGAAGGCACGCUGGUGUGUAGGUGAAGUCCCUGCGGAUGGAGCUGAGACCAGUCGAAGAUACCAGCUGGCUGCAACUGUUUAUUAAAAACACAGCACUGUGCAAACACGAAAGUGGACGUAUACGGUGUGACGCCUGCCCGGUGCCGGAAGGUUAAUUGAUGGGGUUAUCCGUAAGGAGAAGCUCUUGAUCGAAGCCCCGGUAAACGGCGGCCGUAACUAUAACGGUCCUAAGGUAGCGAAAUUCCUUGUCGGGUAAGUUCCGACCUGCACGAAUGGCGUAAUGAUGGCCAGGCUGUCUCCACCCGAGACUCAGUGAAAUUGAACUCGCUGUGAAGAUGCAGUGUACCCGCGGCAAGACGGAAAGACCCCGUGAACCUUUACUAUAGCUUGACACUGAACAUUGAGCCUUGAUGUGUAGGAUAGGUGGGAGGCUUUGAAGCGUGGACGCCAGUCUGCGUGGAGCCAACCUUGAAAUACCACCCUUUAAUGUUUGAUGUUCUAACGUUGGCCCCUUACCGGGGUUGCGGACAGUGUCUGGUGGGUAGUUUGACUGGGGCGGUCUCCUCCUAAAGCGUAACGGAGGAGCACGAAGGUUAGCUAAUCCUGGUCGGACAUCAGGAGGUUAGUGCAAUGGCAUAAGCUAGCUUGACUGCGAGCGUGACGGCGCGAGCAGGUGCGAAAGCAGGUCAUAGUGAUCCGGUGGUUCUGAAUGGAAGGGCCAUCGCUCAACGGAUAAAAGGUACUCCGGGGAUAACAGGCUGAUACCGCCCAAGAGUUCAUAUCGACGGCGGUGUUUGGCACCUCGAUGUCGGCUCAUCACAUCCUGGGGCUGAAGUAGGUCCCAAGGGUAUGGCUGUUCGCCAUUUAAAGUGGUACGCGAGCUGGGUUUAGAACGUCGUGAGACAGUUCGGUCCCUAUCUGCCGUGGGCGCUGGAGAAUUGAGGGGGGCUGCUCCUAGUACGAGAGGACCGGAGUGGACGCAUCACUGGUGUUCGGGUUGUCAUGCCAAUGGCACUGCCCGGUAGCUAAAUGCGGAAGAGAUAAGUGCUGAAAGCAUCUAAGCACGAAACUUGCCCCGAGAUGAGUUCUCCCUGAGACUUUAAGUCUCCUGAAGGAACGUUAAAGACGAUGACGUUGAUAGGCCGGGUGUGUAAGCGCAGCGAUGCGUUGAACUAACCGGUACUAAUGAACCGUGAGGCUUAACCUU
rnacentral:rRNA from 1 species